UUGAAGUCACUCUCUUGGCUUAGAGGGGGAAAGGAAGAAACCUAGGGGAAGAAUACAAACCCUAGGAUCCUGGCUCUGAGGGAAGGGUUUACUCAGAGGGGUGGUGGAGCAGAAGCCUGAUAGAGGUAGAGUAGGAAAAGGCUCAGGGAAAUGGCAGCAAGUUUUGGGAUGGUGUAGACCCUGACUGUUGAUUCAAGAGUCCCUGAGCUGGAACCCAGAGUAGUGGGCAGGCCUGGUUCCCCUACCAGCCGCUGGGGAAGUGACAUAGCUUUGAAUUGAAGGGCUGCUGGGAACAAUACCUGGUCAGCCAGUUGAGUGAGACGUUGAUAAUCCAGAAGGGGAAGGCUGGAGGGCCAAGCUAUGAAGAGGGAGUCACAAAGAGAAAGCACUGCAACUCCUGCAGUGUGAGAGAAGCUGCACUGUGAGUGAGAGACAGAAAGGGGUGCUAGACUGGGCAGAGCUAUUCCCCAAGUGCAGCAGCUACAAGGAGUCACCCCAACAUGGAAUAUUUAAUCAACUCCAAUCUGUAAGAAGCAAGAGGAAUUUCUAUUUUAUUUAAAACCUGUCCCAUAUGAAAAAGGACUGGGAAAUAGCUCAUGCAAUGUAUGGCAUGACUGCCCGUGGCCUGGUCAGCUACAUGCUUACAGUUUGCAGUGUUGUUGUAGCUGGGUGAGGAAAG